CCUUGCAUGAAGGAAUUGAUAACAUUUCUCAAUUGCGUGUCUCUUAACCAAUCAGAUAUUGAUAAAUGUGUCCGGCAAAAGGAACUGUUGAAUGCCUGUAUGGAUGCUCAGGCUACCAGCAAAAGAAAGUCUUGGGGUAGCAUUAAUUACCACCUGCAGAGGCUUAACCGUGGAAGGAAGUAGAUUUAACUUGGAUGUCCUUCUUCAGAUUCCUCACUUCACUGGUUGAGCACAAGAAGAAAGUUGAUCGGGUAUCCAAGCACGCAAUGUUGAAAUAUCAUUUUUUUAAUUCCAUUUUCUGUAUUCCUGAUAGAAAGUUUUGAACAAAUUUAAUAUACUUUUGUCUUUGUGCUGAUCACCAUAAACCUUACAAUAAUAUUUAAUCUAGAGUCUUAUCUACAAAAAAAA
rnacentral:misc_RNA from 1 species